rnacentral:rRNA from 1 species
GAUGAACGCUAGCUACAGGCUUAACACAUGCAAGUCGAGGGGAAACGACAUUGGAAGCUUGCUUCCUUUGGGCGUCGACCGGCGCACGGGUGAGUAACGCGUAUCCAACCUUCCCGCAAGUAAGGGAUAACCCGUAGAAAUGCGGCCUAAUACCCAAUGAUAUCUCUAGAAGACAUCUGAAGGAGAUUAAAGAUUUAUCGGUGAUGGAUGGGGAUGCGUCUGAUUAGCUUGUUGGCGGGGUAACGGCCCACCAAGGCAACGAUCAGUAGGGGUUCUGAGAGGAAGGUCCCCCCACAUUGGAACUGAGACACGGUCCAAACUCCUACGGGAGGCAGCAGUGAGGAAUAUUGGUCAAUGGGCGAGAGCUUGAACCAGCCAAGUAGCGUGCAGGAUGACGGCCCUAUGGGUUGUAAACUGCUUUUAUGCGGGGAUAAACUGACUCACGUGUGGGUCAUUGCAGGUACCGCAUGAAUAAGGACCGGCUAAUUCCGUGCCAGCAGCC